GGGGAGUCAGGUGCCGUCGCGGGGUUGCUUUCCGGCGGGUGCGAGCGGCCGGUGGCUGCUGUGGCCUGCUCUCCCGAUCCCUUCCGCCCCUCGCUGCGACCCCAGCUUUUGACCCCAGUGGCGGCUCCUCUGUGGCGAGAGAGCAGAGCCGGGUGCAGCUCUGGCCUGACCCGCGAGGUGACCUUGGUCGAGUCCCCAGUCGCGCCGUGCCGCCCAUCUGUGCGCGGGCCUAUCAGAAACCCCUCUCCUGAGCGGUUAAGGACAGAGACCUAGAGCGGCCUCACAGGCUGCCCAGUGGCAGGGGGAGCGCCGGCCGCCGCUGGCGGGGGUUGGUGGAGAUGCCCCUAAACGUGAAAUGGCCGUUCCCCGCGGUGCCGCCGCUCACCUGGACCCUGGCCAGCAGUGUCGUCAUGGGCCUGGUGGGCACCUACAGCUGCUUCUGGACCAAGUACAUGAAUCACCUCACCGUCCACAACAAGGAGGUGCUGUACGAGCUCAUCGAGAACAGAAGCCCUGCCACGCCCCUCAUCACCGUUUCCAAUCACCAGUCCUGCAUGGAUGACCCUCAUCUCUGGGGGAUCCUGAAACUCCGCCACAUCUGGAACCUGAAGUUGAUGCGUUGGACCCCUGCAGCUGCAGACAUCUGCUUCACCAAGGAGCUGCAUUCCCACUUCUUCAGCUUGGGCAAGUGUGUGCCUGUGUGCCGAGGAAGGGGCAGACUGAUGGGGAGAGGCCUCAAUGCACAGGCCUGUUUCAAUCACACCCCCAACCCUGAAUGGGGACUGAUGGGGAGAGGCCUUUUGUCUUCAGGCGAUGGCGUCUACCAGAAGGGGAUGGACUUCAUUUUGGAGAAGCUCAACCAUGGGGACUGGGUGCACAUCUUCCCAGAAGGGAAAGUGAACAUGAGCUCUGAGUUUCUGCGCUUCAAAUGGGGCUGGCACAGAAGCUUGGCCCAGGACUCAGCUUUUGCCAGUGUUUCUGCCUCCCCUCCACACCGGCAGGAAUUGGGCGCCUGAUUGCUGAGUGUCAUCUUAACCCCAUCAUCCUACCACUGUGGCAUGUUGGAAUGAAUGAUGUCCUUCCUAAUAGUCCGCCCUACUUCCCCCGCUUUGGACAGAAGAUCACUGUGCUGAUUGGGAAGCCCUUCACUGCCCUCCCUGUGCUCGAGCGGCUCCGAGCAGAGAACAAGUCAGCUGUGGAGGUGCGCAAGGCCCUGACUGACUUCAUUCAAGAGGAAUUCCAGCACCUGAAGACUCAGGCAGAGCAACUCCACAACCACUUGCAGCCUGGGAGAUAGGCUCCGCUGGGCUGGGCCUUGGCCUCCUCUCAGCCAGGCAGCAGCGGGCUCUGAGGCUCGGGGAAGAAGUGGUGCUAGGACCCCAGCCCCAGCCAGGUUGGCUCUCAGUGCUGCCUUUUGGAUUCUUGCCCUGCACUGAGCUGGGCUGGGGAUGGACUGAUGCUUUUAGCUUAGAUAUGGUUUUCAAAGACGUGUUCAUAAGCCUUACUGGGUGCCCUGUCCCAGCCCCUAUUUGGUUCUUCAGUUAAAGAAAUGGCCUCAGCUGUUCCUGCCGCUUGACCAGGAAGGAAGGAAGAAGCUUAGGCAGGGGCCUUCUUCCUUCUUGCCUUCAGAUGUUCUCUCCCAGGGGCUGGCAUCAGGCGGGAGCAUGGCAGGCAGGUGAGCAAAUAGUUGGGUGGUGAAGCCGGUGGCCCAGCUGGAGCUGUGAGAGGGAACCAUGAGGCCCCUUGGCCUGGCUCCCACUCAGCCUCACCCUUGCCGAACCAAUAACUGCUUACUACAAACUCAGGGAUGGCCAUGGGCCACAUCUUCUUUCUGCCCGAGCUUCCCCCACCUGCAGGGCCUGGCCUUAGGUGGGCUGCAGGCAAGAAGACCAGCCCUUUGCCAGAAGUCAAGCCCAGCCAAAUGGAGCCUAUGGCAAGAUCUGGCUGCUUGCCCCCAUGCCAGGACCCACCGAAAACUCCAUUAUUUCUGUCCCCCAGCAUCACUCUUGUCCUGGGGCCUGGGUUUUCAUGUUUUAUAAAGAAAACAAUAAAGCAUCUGUGCUGGUCUGUUGUA